rnacentral:rRNA from 1 species
GCUAAAUAGCUAGCUUAAUUAUUAUACUAAAUUAAUAAUAUAAAUAAAAGUACAAAACCUAAAAUUAUUAAUCAAAUCAUUUUUCCACCUUAGUACGGGCGACGAAAAAGGUUCCAUAAGCAAUAGAAAAAGUACCGCAAGGGAAAGCUGAAAGAGCAAUGAAACAAGUCAUUAAAGCACAAAAAAGCAGAGAUUAAUGCUCGUACCUUUUGCAUCAUGAUUUAGCAAGAAAUCAACAAGCAAAGAGACCUUUAGUUUGUUAUCCCGAAACCAAGUGAGCUACCCCGGGACAGCCUAAAAGGGCCAACCCGUCUCUGUGGCAAAAGAGUGGGAAGAGCCCCGGGUAGAGGUGACAGACCUACCGAACUUGGUGAUAGCUGGUUGCCUAAGAAAUGAAUAGAAGUUCAGCCUCAUGCUCCCUUUAAUCACACAAGUAAUAUCUAAUUUAGAAAAUAAGAAAAGCAUGAGAGUUAGUUAAAGGGGGUACAGCCCCUUUAAUUAAGGAUACAACUUUAUCAGGUGGAUAGGGAUUAUAAUUAAUAAAAUUUAUUGUUUUAGUGGGCCUAAAAGCAGCCAUCUGAACAGAAAGCGUUAAAGCUCAAACGAUGUAAAAUUUAUUAUUCCAAUAAAACAUCCCACUCCCCUAAACGUAUUAGGCCACUCCAUGAUUACAUGGAAGAGACCAUGCUAAAAUGAGUAACAAGAGACAACAUCUCUCCAGGCAUAAGUGUAAGCCAGCCCGGAUAAACCACCGGCAAUUAACGAACCCAAUAAAAGAGGGUAAUAUAAUUAAUAUUAAUUACAAGAAAAUCAUAUAAAAUACUAAUCGUUGACCCCACACUGGAAUGCCCCAAGGAAAGACUAAAAGAAAGGGAAGGAACUCGGCAAACACAAGCCUCGCCUGUUUACCAAAAACAUCGCCUCCUGCAAAAUUCAAAGUAUAGGAGGUCCAGCCUGCCCAGUGACCAUAAGUUCAACGGCCGCGGUAUUUUGACCGUGCAAAGGUAGCGCAAUCACUUGUCUUUUAAAUGAAGACCUGUAUGAAUGGCUAAACGAGGGCUUAGCUGUCUCCCCUCUCCAGUCAGUGAAAUUGAUCUGCCCGUGCAGAAGCGGACAUAAAUUUACAAGACGAGAAGACCCUUUGGAGCUUAAGGUUCAAGUCCACCCGCGUUAAACAACUUACUAAAUAAGAGUUAAACCUAGCAGAAAAUGGAACUUUACCUUCGGUUGGGGCGACCACGGAGAAAAGAUUAUCCUCCGAGUGGAUUGGGUUAAUAAACCUAAAACCAAGAAAGACAUUUCUAAGCCACAAAAAAUUUGACCAAUAAUGAUCCGGCCAAUAAGACCGAUCAACGGACCAAGUUACCCUAGGGAUAACAGCGCAAUCCUCUCCCAGAGUCCAUAUCGACGAGGGGGUUUACGACCUCGAUGUUGGAUCAGGACAUCCUAAUGGUGCAGCCGCUAUUAAGGGUUCGUUUGUUCAACGAUUAAAGUCCUACGUGAUCUGAGUUCAGACCGGAGUAAUCCAGGUCAGUUUCUAUCUGUAACGUCACUUUUCCUAGUACGAAAGGACCGGAAAAGAGAGGCCCAUGCCAAAGGUAUGCCUCACCCAUAAUUAAUGAAGACAACUAAAUUAAAUAAAUGGAGGACCUACAAUUUAGGCAAAAAUAAAGCCAC